AUGAGUAGUCUAUCAUCCCUAAUAAGCCAGGCUAUCACAUAAUCUAACUUGUAACGCCCCAGACACACCUGCCAGCGGUCGUUACUCCUGGCGGGAUCUAGACUGGCCCCACAUAUCAAUACUAGUCUUUUCUGCGCACUUUGUCCUCACUCAUGCGCACCCGGGACCAACUUCCCGGUCGGUCACCCAUCCUUUAACUACUCCAAGCCAAGCACGCUUAACCUGGG
rnacentral:lncRNA from 1 species